GACGUAUGGGGCCAACGUUGCUCGGAAUCACUGGGCAUAAAGCGCAAGUAGGUGGUUUUGUAAGUCUGGUGUGAAAGCCCCCGGCCCAACCGGGGAACUGCGCCAGAAACUGCAAGGCUGGAGGGUUAGAUGGGAGACUGGAACUCCUGGUGGAGCGGUGAAAUGCGUAGAUAUCAGGAGGAACACCGGUGGCGAAAGCGGGUCUCUGGCUAACUUCUGACACUGAGUUGCGAAAGCUAGGGGAGCAAACGGG
rnacentral:rRNA from 1 species